GAUGAACACUGGCGGCGUGCCUAAUACAUGCAAGUCGAGCGAACAGACGAGGAGCUUGCUCCUUCGACGUUAGCGGCGGACGGGUGAGUAACACGUAGGUAACCUACCUAUAAGACUGGGAUAACUUCGGGAAACCGGAGCUAAUACCGGAUAAUAUUUCGAACCGCAUGGUUCGAUAGUGAAAGAUGGCUUUGCUAUCACUUAUAGAUGGACCUGCGCCGUAUUAGCUAGUUGGUAAGGUAACGGCUUACCAAGGCAACGAUACGUAGCCGACCUGAGAGGGUGAUCGGCCACACUGGAACUGAGACACGGUCCAGACUCCUACGGGAGGCAGCAGUAGGGAAUCGUCCGCAAUGGGCGAAAGCCUGACGGAGCAACGCCGCGUGAGUGAUGAAGGUCUUCGGAUCGUAAAACUCUGUUAUUAGGGAAGAACAAACGUGUAAGUAACUGUGCACGUCUUGACGGUACCUAAUCAGAAAGCCACGGCUAACUACGUG
rnacentral:rRNA from 1 species